rnacentral:rRNA from 1 species
GACGAACGCUGGCGGCGUGCCUAAUACAUGCAAGUAGAACGCUGAAGAGAGGAGCUUGCUCUUCUUGGAUGAGUUGCGAACGGGUGAGUAACGCGUAGGUAACCUGCCUGGUAGCGGGGGAUAACUAUUGGAAACGAUAGCUAAUACCGCAUAAAAUUGAUUAUUGCAUGAUACUUAAUUGAAAGAUGCAACUGCAUCACUACCAGAUGGACCUGCGUUGUAUUAGCUAGUUGGUGAGGUAACGGCUCACCAAGGCGACGAUACAUGGCCGACCUGAGAGGGUGAUCGGCCACACUGGGACUGAGACACGGCCCAGACUCCUACGGGAGGCAGCAGUAGGGAAUCUUCGGCAAUGGGGGGAACCCUGACCGAGCAACGCCGCGUGAGGGAAGAAGGUUUUCGGAUCGUAAAGCUCUGUUGUAAGAGAAGAACGGGUGUGAGAGUGGAAAGUGCACACUGUGACGGUAUCUUACCAGAAAGGGACGGCUAACUACGUG